GGCAUAACAGGCAGUGAAGGUUAAAAUAGACUGAAAUAGACUGGGCAUGACAGGAAGUGUAGGUUAAAAUAGACUGGGCAUAACAGACGUUGUAAGAUUGGGGUGGAACAAGCAUGACAGCAAGUUGUGGAAUUUUGACUAGUUGAGAAUGACUGAAAGGUGCUAAUCAUUGCACACAUUCAGAAUCUCAACAUUAGGCAUGAAAUGUUAUGAAUGUGUUUGAAACGUCUCUUAAUUCCCUGUUCAUGUACUCAUGAUAGAGUCAAUAUUCAUCCAAUCAAAAUGUCUCAAUAAAUUCUUAGUAAAUCACAGACCAACUCAGCAUUAGGCCACACCAAAUUAAUUUCUGGUUGUUUGUUUUUCUUGCUUUAAUAAUAAAUAAAUUCAGUAAGAUCUUGUUUGGUGCAGAAACCCAGGGUGUUUUAAUAAUCAAAAAAUCUUCUGUUUUUUUCCCCCAUGUGAAAUGAUUUUUUAUGCAAUGAACCAAACAGAACUAGCUAGAUUACUACUGUAGGGUUGUGUAGGCAAUUCAGCUUAAAACAUAUAGUAAUAGUUUAGACCUUAAUGUAGGCACAUCAAACUAUCUAUCAUUUUUUGGUAUGUAUUGAAUGUGAAUGUUUUAUAAACUGAAUUAAAAUGAAGAUUUUAACAAAACAAUUAUAUCUACGUCACUUAUCAAAACCAACAAAGGCAUUUACUAUGCCUUUAACCCGUAUUAUGUGGUUUUAGUUUACACAUGAUGUGUAAACUCAAGCUAUGAAGUCCUUAGCAAGUGCCUGAAGUUGAUCUACCAAGAAAACAAUCUCAGGACACUCCCCAAACCCAAACAUUUGAAUCAACUGUACCUAAUUUCAUUGUUUACUAGAAUAAAAGGUGACUUGCUAUGAACAUACAGGUGUUUUAAAGCAAAAAUAUGCAAAAAUGUAGUGAAAAAAUGGGGAAAAUAAAAAGGGAUGAGGGCGAGUCUUUUUGGUAAAAAAAAUCCCAUUAAGAUAAGAAACUAAUUUGGUAUGGCCUAAUCCUUUAGAGAAAAAUCUACAAAAUUUGUAUAGGAAUAUUUUCCCAUUUUUCCAGUGUCUUUUCCAACAGAACUUUAAAGUUACAAUUACAGUUUGUUAUAAAGCUUAUUGCUUGUUUUUAACUUUUUCAACAUAAUCAUGUGUCGGUCGUUUCUGUCAAACUUCCUGUCUACUUGAUGGUCGAUAGAUACUCUUAACCUGCCCGUGAGAAGUCUACACAAUUGUUUGAAUGUUGGUAUGUGUCCUUUUUAAUACAUCAUUGAUUGAUUUGUUGACAUUUCUAUAGAUUUAUCAUCAAAAGAUUCUUAACUUUUUAUGUAACAAAAAUCAAAACUUGUUAAAUUGGAAAUCCUAGAUCUUCAGUCUCAAAAUUUUCAAUCAUUCUUUUCUUACACUUUUUUAUGGAACAUUUUUUUGAAGUAUUGACACAGCAGAGACUAUGUGCAGAUUUUAAUGCUGGCUUUGUACUAUGUAUGUUAAUUCUAUUUAUAUAUGAUUUUUAUCAUUUGUCGGGAGUCUUGUACAUCUAAAAUGGAUGUCUCUUACUAACUGAUCGAGGUAUAUAAAUUUUGUAAAUGCUUAUUUCUCUCUCUUUUUAACAAAGUGUCAAUUUGAAUGUUCCUCGGUUUCCAUUGGCUAUGGGAGGCGGAUGAAUACUAUUCUUCUUUAGGUUUUUACUUGUAGACUAACUCGGUGUUUAGAUGAUAAUAUUUAAUGUUGAUUUUGUAUGCAAAAUGAGCUGGAGGCUAUUUUUUCAGUUUUAUUUAUCAUAUGGUUUUUUUUAUGCUUUUGUUUUAUUAAAACUAUAACUUGAAAUAAAUGUCCUGUCACAUAAUGGUAUAGAAAAUAUGUAGAAUCUACAGAUCGUUCAGCCUGUUAAAGAAUUUUGUUUAAAUAUUUUGCAGAAGAAGAGGAAAUUUAACAGUAUCAGAAAGGUUUCCUAUCCUUUCCUUUAUUUUAUUUUUUUAUUUUUUAUUUACAGCCUGUAAAAGAAAUUUGUUUUUAGCAAUAUCAGCAAGGUUUCCUAUCUUUUUUUAAAAUUUUAUUUUUAGCUACAUAUGCAUCAAUUAAAAAUGACUAAGGUUUGAUAAUACUGGAGAUCGAAUUGGUUUCUACUUGCCAAUCUGAAAAUAAUGAAAAAUGAAAGAGUCUUUGUCAUUUAAUACAAAGAAGUAACUGGAUUGUAAAAACUGUAAUCAUGCCAUUAGUCAAUGUUAACUUUUCUGAAUCUUUGUGCCUAUUGUAAUGAAAAGUUCCAUGUUUCUUGACUAAAUCAAUUACUUUUCAUUCUAUGGGAUGAAUUAUUUCCCAAAACUUUAUGAAAUUCAGUGAUAUUCCCGUGGAGAAUAAAGAUCUCGGGACUCGCUGAAGUUUUGAUUUUAUUCGUAGAAUGUUUUUGUGUAUAGCAGGAACUAAUAAUACUGCACAUUUGGACACCAACUUUAUUGUGUUUUAAACUAAAUUACGAUUUAUUUUGUAAAUUUGUUUUUGAAAAUUUCAUUUUGUGGAGUCGGUGAAGAUAUCUGUAACUUUCUGAACCAGUUAAGAUGUUUUGAUGAAAUUUGAAGGCUACACGCAUCACCUACAAACGGUGUACAUUGCAUUGUAAUAAUUAAGGUCUCAUUAUGGCCUUUACCUCAAGAUCAAAGGUUAAAAAAGCACAAAUUUUCAGUGAAGUCUUGUCAGGGCUUGACACCAUUGAAGGUAUAUUGAUGAAAGUUGAAAGAUACAGGCUUAUCCCUCAGAAGAUGUGCUCUGAACUGUAUUUGUGUCGUCCUGACCUUCACGUCUCAGUUAACGGUCGGAGGUCAUGUUUCUGUUCACAAAAACAGAUCUGCAGUGAUUUAUAUGUCAUUGAGUCCUCUUUGCCCCUACUUUGCAACUGAAGGGGUUAUUUGGGGGACUAUGUAAUAGUCCCUGUUAAAAUUACAGCAUCUCACUCUUCCGCUGUGAUUUUGUCGAACACUCGUCUCAAAAUUUAAAUGCUGAUUCUUAUGAAACUUCUGACGAGUAUUGGUGGGAAUGUGCUAUUAAAUGGGAGUUUUCUUGAUCUGAUAAAAAUAGCAACUAUUACAACGGAAUGAUUGAAAUAAUUAUGCUUAUUAACUCUAAUUCUGUUUGACUGCUUUUGUUCAUACUCUAUGGGGGAAGGUUUAAUGUCUGAAUUUUAGGUUUAGGAUUCAAGAUGGACCCCGUGACCUAUGAUUGGCCAAGCAUAUAACCUAAGUUCUACUGAACGUUGCUCAAACUUGGUGCAAUGGAAGAAUGCUGUUGUGAGAUUGGCCGAGACAUAAAGGGCUAUAACUUAAGUUCUAAUUUGACAACAUUGUUGUUGAGAUUUAAAGGGUUUUUUCCCCAUUGUUUCAAUGUCGGUAUCUAUUGUGUUAGAUUGAUUUGUUGUGUUAGAUUAAUUUGGUAUUUUAUACUUAGUAACUUUAUUGCACUAGCUUAGGCAAGUUGUGUUUUAACUCAAGUAAUUCCACUGAAUGGCCUGAUUGUUUCAGACUAAUGAAUAUUGAUCAUUUGUCUUACUACAUUUCAAAUACAAAAUCAGUUUUGUUUUUAAUAAACUUUUUUGAAUUCUAACAUAAAGAGCUCACCAAAAAAAACUAGUCUUUUUUACGUCUUGUGAACAUGAGUAAGAUGUUGAAUGAAAAUUUUACAAAACUGUUAUGAAUGUUUUCAUAUCAACCAAUCAUUCCCAUGAUUUUUUUUUCUUUGUCUAAUGAUUAUCAUUUCUUCAUCAACUGAAAUCUUGUCAUGGAGUGCACUUUGUGCACAAUUACACUAAGGGGAGAUAAAUGUGUUUUAUUCAUAGUUCAGUCUUUACAUUUGUCAUCAUAGUAUUUUAUGCAAGUCAUUUAGACUAUCAGCAUUUUUCAAUUUUCAUAAUUGUUUCAUUAUGAAUCACCUGGUCAUGACUGUCGGAAGGUCAUGUGCCUUGUGUACGGGGUAGAUGUCGCACGGUAUUGUACAGCACCCGUCAGUACAAGUUUACCCUCGGCGACCACGGCACCCGUCAGUAUAAGUUUACCCUCGGCGACCACGGCACCCGUCAGUACAAGUUUACCCUAGGCGACCACGGCACGUUCAUUGUUAUGAUCUCGCAAAUAAAAUGGCUGAAAAGCAG